GGGAGGAACGGGGACCGAGGGAGAGAUGGGCAGACUCUCAUGGUCCCUGUUCUCUGCCCCAGA
rnacentral:pre_miRNA from 1 species